CCCCUAGAUGUUCUGGGCCGCACGCGCGCUACACUGAACAGUUCAACAAGUCUUAACCUUGGCCGAUAGGUCUGGGUAAUCUUUGAACGCUGUUCGUGAUUGGGAUAGACCUUUGCAAUUAUGGGUCUUCAACGAGGAAUUCCUAGUAAACGCAAGUCAUCAGCUUGCAUUGAUUACGUCCCUGCCCUUGUACACACCGCCCGUCGCACCUACCGAUUGAAUGGUCCGGUGAAAUCUCGGGACGGCGGCUUGGUCGCUUGCGUCCGACUGCUGAAACUUGAUUAAACCAUAUCAUUUAGAGGAAGGUGAANUCGUAACA
rnacentral:rRNA from 1 species